GGUUAAGCGAAUAAGCGUACACGGUGGAUGCCUAGGCAAUCAGAGGCGAUGAAGGACGUGCUAAUCUGCGAAAAGCGUCGGUAAGGUGAUAUGAACCGUUAUACCCGACGAUAUCCGAAUGGGGAAACCCAGUAUCCAAUGGAUACUAUCAUUAACUGAAUCCAUAGGUUAAUGAGGCGAACCGGGAGAACUGAAACAUCUCAGUACCCCGAGGAAAAGAAAUCAACCGAGAUUCCCCUAGUAGCGGCGAGCGAACGGGGAGCAGCCCAGAGUCUUAAUCAAUAACAGUGUCAGGAGAACGGUCUGGAAAGUCCGGCAGUAAAGGGUGAUAGCCCCGUAUCUGAAGAUGCUGUUAUUGUGAACUCGACGAGUAGGGCGGGACACGUGUUAUCCUGUCUGAAUAUGGGGGGACCAUCCUCCAAGGCUAAAUACUCCUGAUUGACCGAUAGUGAACCAGUACCGUGAGGGAAAGGCGAAAAGAACCCCGGCGAGGGGAGUGAAAAAGAACCUGAAACCGUGUACGUACAAGCAGUAGGAGCCUCUUUAUGGGGUGACUGCGUACCUUUUGUAUAAUGGGUCAGCGACUUAUAUUCUGUAGCAAGGUUAACCGUAUAGGGGAGCCGUAGGGAAACCGAGUCUUAACUGGGCGAAUGAGUUGCAGGGUAUAGACCCGAAACCCGGUGAUCUAUCCAUGGGCAGGUUGAAGGUUGGGUAACACUAACUGGAGGACCGAACCGACUAAUGUUGAAAAAUUAGCGGAUGACUUGUGGAUGGGGGUGAAAGGCCAAUCAAACCGGGAGAUAGCUGGUUCUCCCCGAAAGCUAUUUAGGUAGCGCCUCGUGAACUCAUCUUCGGGGGUAGAGCACUGUUUCGACUAGGGGGUCAUCCCGACUUACCAACUCGAUGCAAACUGCGAAUACCGAAGAAUGUUAUCACGGGAGACACACGGCGGGUGCUAACGUCCGUCGUGAAGAGGGAAACAACCCAGACCGCCAGCUAAGGUCCCAAAGUCAUGGUUAAGUGGGAAACGAAGUGGGAAGGCUCAGACAGCCAGGAUGUUGGCUUAGAAGCAGCCAUCAUUUAAAGAAAGCGUAAUAGCUCACUGGUCGAGUCGGCCCGCGCGGAAGAUGUAACGGGGCUAAACCAUGCACCGAAGCUGCGGCAGCGACACAAAGUGUUGUUGGGUAGGGGAGCGUUCUGUAAGCCUGCGAAGGUGUACUGUGAGGUAUGCUGGAGGUAUCAGAAGUGCGAAUGCUGACAUAAGUAACGAUAAUGCGGGUGAAAAACCCGCACGCCGGAAGACCAAGGGUUCCUGUCCAACGUUAAUCGGGGCAGGGUGAGUCGACCCCUAAGGCGAGGCUGAAAAGCGUAGUCGAUGGGAAACGGGUUAAUAUUCCCGUACUGGUGGUAACUGCGAUGGGGGAACGGAGAAGGCUAGGUUGUCCGGGCGACGGUCGUCCCGGUUCAAGCAGGUAGGCAGAGUGAUUAGGCAAAUCCGGUCACUUAAUGCUGAGAUGUGAUGACGAACCACUAAGGUGGUGAAGCAAUUGAUGCCCCGCUUCCAGGAAAAGCCUCUAAGCUUCAGGUUACCAACAAUCGUACCCCAAACCGACACAGGUGGUCAGGUAGAGAAUACUCAGGCGCUUGAGAGAACUCGGGUGAAGGAACUAGGCAAAAUGGUGCCGUAACUUCGGGAGAAGGCACGCUGGCGGUAGGUAAAGUCCCUCGCGGACGGCGCUGAAGCCAGUCGAAGAUACCAGCUGGCUGCAACUGUUUAUUAAAAACACAGCACUGUGCAAACACGAAAGUGGACGUAUACG
rnacentral:rRNA from 1 species